CUUGAACGCUGGCGGCAGGCCUAACACAUGCAAGUCGCGCGGAGCGUCGGCCGGGUGAGUAAUGCCUAGGAAUCUGCCUGGUCGUGGGGGAUCACGUCCGGAAACGGGCGCUAAUACCGCAUACUCUCAGAUGAGCCUCGGGCGGAUUAGCUAGUGGGUGGGGUAAAGGCCUACCAAGGAGACGAACCGUAACUGGUCUGAGAGGAGGAUCAGUAAAAAUGGAACUGGGACAAGGGCCAGACUGCUACGGGAGGGAGCAGUGGGGAAUAUUGGACAAAGGGCGAAAGCCUGAUCCAGCCAUGCCGCGUGGGUGAAGAAGGAAUUAGGGAGGUAAAGCGGUAUAAGUUGAGGGGCGAGAAUCAAAGAAGAAGCACCGGCUAACUCCGUGCCAGCAGCCGCGGUAAUAC
rnacentral:rRNA from 1 species